rnacentral:rRNA from 1 species
GAGCGGUAAGGGCAGCAAUGCCCNUAGAGCGGCGGANUGGUGAGUAACGCGUGGGUGACUUACCCCCUGNUUGGGGAUAGCCCCUAGAAAUAGGGGAUAAUACCGAAUACGGUUGUCCGGUUAUGGCCGGAUAAAGAAAGGAGCUCCGGNUCCGCCUGAGGAUGGGCCCGCGUUCCAUUAGCUAGUUGGUGAGGUAAAGGCCCACCAAGCCCGUGAUAGGUAGCCGGCCUGAGAGGGUGAACGGCCACAUUGGGACUGAGAUACGGCCCAAACUCCCUACGGGAGGCAGCAGCUAAGAAUAUUCCGCAAUGGACGAAAGUCUGACGGAGCGACGCCGCGUGGAUGACGAAGGCCGGAAGGUUGUAAAANCCUUUUGCCGCUGAAGAAUAAGCGGGGUAGGGAAUGACCCCGUGAUGACGUUUAGGCGGUGAAUGGGCCCCGG